GCCUGGGUGGCUCAGUGGUUGAGCAACUGCCUUUGGCUCAGGUCCUGAUCCCGGAGUCUUGGGAUCAAGUCCCAUAUCGGGCU
rfam:Canis lupus familiaris chromosome 10, whole genome shotgun sequence.